UACGAAGGGGGCGAGCGUUGUUCGGAUUUACUGGGCGUAAAGGGCGCGCAGGCGGCUUAUUUUGUCAGGCGUGAAAGCCCCGGGCUUAACCUGGGAACUGCGUUUGAUACGGAUGGGCUAGAGUUCGGGAGAGGAGAGUGGAAUUCCCAGUGUAGAGGUGAAAAUUCGUAGAUAUUGGGGAAGAACACCGGUGGCGAAGGCGGCUCUCUGGACCGAGACUGACGCUGAGGCGCGAAAGCGUGGGGAGCAAACAGG
rnacentral:rRNA from 1 species